rnacentral:rRNA from 1 species
AGAUUGAACGCUGGCGGCAGGCCUAACACAUGCAAGUCGAGCGGCAGCACGGGUACUUGUACCUGGUGGCGAGCGGCGGACGGGUGAGUAAUGCCUAGGAAUCUGCCUGGUAGUGGGGGAUAACGCUCGGAAACGGACGCUAAUACCGCAUACGUCCUACGGGAGAAAGCAGGGGACCUUCGGGCCUUGCGCUAUCAGAUGAGCCUAGGUCGGAUUAGCUAGUUGGUGAGGUAAUGGCUCACCAAGGCGACGAUCCGUAACUGGUCUGAGAGGAUGAUCAGUCACACUGGAACUGAGACACGGUCCAGACUCCUACGGGAGGCAGCAGUGGGAAUAUUGGACAAUGGGCGAAAGCCUGAUCCAGCCAUGCCGCGUGUGUAGAAGAAGGUCUUACGGAUUAGGUAAAAGCUAACGUUUUAAAGGUUGGGAAGGAAAGGGCAAGUUACCUAAUACGUAUCUUGUUUGAACGUUACCGACAAGAAUAACGCACCGGCUAACUCUGUCG